rnacentral:rRNA from 1 species
CCUACGGGGUGCAGCAGUGAGGAAUAUUGGUCAAUGGUCGGGAGACUGAACCAGCCAAGCCGCGUGAGGGAGGAAGGUACAGAGUAUCGUAAACCUCUUUUGUCAGGGAACAAAGGCGGGGACGUGUCCCCGGAUGAGUGUACCUGAAGAAAAAGCAUCGGCUAACUCCGUGCCAGCAGCCGCGGUAAUACGGAGGAUGCGAGCGUUAUCCGGAUUUAUUGGGUUUAAAGGGUGCGCAGGCGGGCUGUUAAGUCAGCGGUAAAAGCCCGGGGCUCAACCCCGGCCCGCCGUUGAGACUGGCAGUCUCGAGUUGGAGAGAAGUAUGCGGAAUGCGCGGUGUAGCGGUGAAAUGCAUAGAUAUCGCGCAGAACUCCGAUUGCGAAGGCAGCAUGCCGGCUCCACACUGACGCUGAGGCACGAAAGCGUGGGUAUCGAACAGGAUUAGAUACCCUUGUAGUC